CUCCGCCUCCUCUGUCUAUUACAACAACAAAGCAACGUCUCACUUUUUCUAUCAGAGAAGCAAAAAGGAGAAGAAUUUAAACUCUCCCGAGAUACCUCCACCUCUAGUGAAGCAUGACAAGGAGGUAAGGGAACGAUGGUUCAGGAAUCUCUUUCGCCAUUCUUUUCUUGAAAUGUACAUGAUAGUUGAUGCGGCCAAUCCCCUAUUGUGCCUGCUGUCGAUGAAGAGCACCAGUAAAAUGAAGUCUACACUCAUUGAAAUUAUAUCCGACGGAGAUCCUUCGAUGUUUAAAUCAGUAGAGAGUGAUGAACAACAGAUAAAGUAUUCAAAAUGGCAGAAUAUCAGCCCAUAAUUGUUCUACCAAAUACUGUUCAUUUACUUCCUUUUAU
rnacentral:lncRNA from 1 species